rnacentral:lncRNA from 1 species
GAUUCUGUGCGUGUCCCUCAUGAGCAGGCAGCAGGAGUCACAUCCUUGUCCCCUUUUCUUUUGCACUUGUGUCCCUGGAUCUGUACAUGGGAAUUGCUUGCAGGCUUUGUGUCUUAUCCUCUGAGUGAGAGAUUCCCAUAACUGUGUUAAAACAACUGCACAGGAAAAUAUAUAAUUUAAGGUGCCUAAAACAACUGCCCAUCUUUUCUCCAUCCUUGAGUUACAGGGCCAGCCUUGCGCCUUCUUGGUCCAGUUCACAAGAUGGGGUGAUGAUACUGGGGUUAUUUAUUUGCCAGGACAUGCAAGCUUUUUCAUACUCCUACUCAAAAUAAAUAAGUAAAUACACAAAGCAAAGCAAAGCAAAACAAAACAAAACAAACAAACAAACAAACAAACAGAAAAAUGUAUUGUGUUAACUUGUGUUUCACCUCUAGGUUUUCCCAUCACUUGACCAUCACACCCCAAAAGGUGUUGAAAUUUGAUGUGCCCUGAACUUGGGGCUCUCCUCAAGCUAGUGAAUAUCAUUUAAAAACUUCUCUCCUCUUGAAGAUGAAAGCCAAUAGAAGAAAAAAGCAUCACCCAGCAAUUCCUCUGCUCAACAGCUAUGAGACCAUAUGAGACCACAGCUCAUACCAGCCCUUAAAUGACCUGAUAGGUAUGAUGAGUACUGUUUCCAUCCCCCAUCCCCUUGGCUCCAGACAUCCCUGAGGAUCUCCCCAGAGAUAAGGGGCAGAUAAUGAGGCAAGAGGGCGUUGAGCCUUCAUUGCCCAUCUAUUUCUAUGACUCCCCAAUCUAGAUGUUAAUGAGCAACGCUCAGGUCAUGCCUCAGGCUGUGGAUGUCUUUUGAAGGACACAAAGAGGAUCUGUUUCGGAUGUACUGCCUCCAUCAGCAGCAUCCCUUUCAGCAAAGAAAGACAACAGCAUCCUGGACUGCAUUUGCAAGAGCUCAGCCAGCACUGCCAGGGAAGUGAUUAUUGCCCUGGAUGUGGUGUUUAUGAGGUCACCUGAAAUUCUGGGUUGUGUCUGGGGGUCUUGGUACAAGACACAAACCAGAACGAGUCCCAUGGGGGCCACCAAGAUGGGAUGGAGACUGAAGACCAUGAAAUACAAGGGCACCCUGAGUGAGCUGAGCUGGAAAGUGAAAGGAGAACCUGGUCCCUGUCUUCACUACCCAACAGAUGUUCAUAAAGAAGAUAACGCCAGAAUCUUCUCAGUGAUGCAUGGUGAAAGGACAAGGGAGCUGGGCACCAGGGUGGGACAGGUCAGAAGGGAAAAGGGAAGAGAAGACAUCCCACCUCCCUUGAACAUCCCGCAUCCCAUAAGGACCAUCCUGAGAGGUUGA